GAUGAACCCUGGCGGCGUGCCUAAUACAUGCAAGUCGAGCGAACAGACGAGGAGCUUGCUCCUCUGACGUUAGCGGCGGACGGGUGAGUAACACGUGGAUAACCUACCUAUAAGACUGGGAUAACUUCGGGAAACCGGAGCUAAUACCGGAUAAUAUAUUGAACCGCAUGGUUCAAUAGUGAAAGACGGUUUUGCUGUCACUUAUAGAUGGAUCCGCGCCGCAUUAGCUAGUUGGUAAGGUAACGGCUUACCAAGGCAACGAUGCGUAGCCGACCUGAGAGGGUGAUCGGCCACACUGGAACUGAGACACGGUCCAGACUCCUACGGGAGGCAGCAGUAGGGAAUCUUCCGCAAUGGGCGAAAGCCUGACGGAGCAACGCCGCGUGAGUGAUGAAGGUCUUCGGAUCGUAAAACUCUGUUAUUAGGGAAGAACAAAUGUGUAAGUAACUAUGCACGUCUUGACGGUACCUAAUCAGAAAGCCACGGCUAACUACGU
rnacentral:rRNA from 1 species